UGGGGAAUUUUCCGCAAUGGGCGAAAGCCUGACGGAGCAACGCCGCGUGAGGGAUGAAGGCCUCUGGGCUGUAAACCUCUUUUAUCAAGGAAGAAGAUCUGACGGUACUUGAUGAAUAAGCCACGGCUAAUUCCGUGCCAGCAGCCGCGGUAAUACGGGAGUGGCAAGCGUUAUCAGGAAUUAUUGGGAGUAAAGCGUCCGCAGGCGGGCUUGUAAGGCUGUCGUUGAAGCGUGGGUCUUAAAUACAUG
rnacentral:rRNA from 1 species